ACAACAGCCACUGUUUACUUGAUCUUGAUUAUCCUACUUGGAUAACUGUGGUAAUCCUAGAGCUAAUACAUGCAACCAAGCUCCGACCGUAAGGGACGAGCGCAUUUAUUAGAACAAAACCAAUCGGGCUUCGGCCUGAGGUUUGGUGAAUCUGAAUAACUGAGCUGAUCGCAUGGUCUUUGUACCGGCGACGCAUCUUUCAAGUGUCUGCCUUAUCAACUUUCGACGGUAGUUUAUGUGCCUACCAUGGUUGUAACGGGUAACGGAGAAUAAGGGUUCGACUCCGGAGAGGGAGCCUGAGAAACGGCUACCACAUCCAAGGAAGGCAGCAGGCGCGCAAAUUACCCACUCUCGGCACGAGGAGGUAGUGACGAAAAAUAACGAGGCGGUUCUCUAAGAGGCCCGCUAUCGGAAUGGGUACAAUUUAAACCCUUUAACGAGGACCUAUGAGAGGGCAAGUCUGGUGCCAGCAGCCGCGGUAAUUCCAGCU
rnacentral:rRNA from 1 species